CGGACGGGUGAGUAACGCGUGGAAAACCUGCCGUAUACUGGGGGAUAACACUUAGAAAUAGGUGCUAAUACCGCAUAAGCGCACAGCUCCGCAUGAAGCAGUGUGAAAAACUCCGGUGGUAUACGAUGGUUCCGCGUCUGAUUAGCUAGUUGGUGAGGUAAAAGCCCACCAAGGCAACGAUCAGUAGCCGGCCUGAGAGGGUGAACGGCCACAUUGGGACUGAGACACGGCCCAGACUCCUACGGGAGGCAGCAG
rnacentral:rRNA from 1 species